rnacentral:lncRNA from 1 species
GCCUGCUGCUGGAAUUGUCGGCUCUUUGCACCUGAGAGGCAUCUCGGCCUUCGUCCCCGGCCUGGAAGUCCUCAGUACUCUCCUGCCUCCUAUAAGCUGUGCAAACAGCACUGCGUCUACCCGGGACCCUCCAGUGCAGCCCAGCCCCUGGGACGCGACCUGCUCCCUCACUCCCUGUCCGCUGUGGCUGACUGCCACUCCCCUGAGUGGCGCUCUCCUGGGCUUCCCGUUCAGCCGACGUGAGCGCCAGAUGGUUGCUCCUAGGGGCGUGUGCGUCUCAGGGGAGCGGCCCUUGCAAUGGGACCGUUUCCAUGCCGGGCUUUCCUCCUCCUCCUGCACAAGGCCACCCUCACCAUGCUCCAGUCGAUACGUAGGUCUUGUUUCUCCUCCUGCAGCAAACCUGGACUCCCAGGCUGCCAGGAGGCCCUCUGCGCGGCACGAGUCCCACACCGUGGCUUCCAGGCUGCCGUAGCCCUACAGGCCUGGAGCUAAGUACAGGACUCCCCGCAGUUCUGGAGAACACUUCCAUCUGUGGCCAGGCCUCCAGCAUCUGCUGGCAAUGAGCAUAAACCCACAGCGCAGCAGGAGUCCCCGCUCUUGGCAUGCGACAUGCGUCUGAGUAACUUCGGUCCCUGUUCUCUUGUGGGACUGGGAGGACCCUAGCCAUGGCCUCUGGGGAGCACCAAGGACAUGCUGAGGCCGUGAGCAGGUCCUCCACGUGCUCCCACUGUGUGGACCUCACGUCGCCAGGGAAGCCCACUCACCAGUGCCAGUGGCGCUGCUGUCCUGGGGCCACUCUGCAGAGCCUCCGUGUGGACAGCCCUGGGCAGGCGUGCGCACUCGGCUGUGGGCUGGUCCCCACGCCCUGCACUCACUUCAUUUCUGACUUGGGCAUCGUGGCACGUGUGUGUACACACGUGGUAUACGUGUGUCCCUCCGACAUGGCUGCUGGUGGGUACUUCUCAGCAGAGGCUCCGUUGGCACGUGUCAUGCCACGCUCUGUCCCUGUGGGUGGGAGGGGCUGGGGCCACCUUGGGGGAGAAGUGCUGUGGGCUGCUGUCCGGAGGGGAUGACCCCUGGCUGUGCUUGAGAGUAUUCAAGACAGGUUCUUCCCAAGGGAUGAAAAUGAAAGUGCCAAAAAAUCCGAAUGUCAGCAGGCAUUUGAAAGCACUCCCCGAGCUCUGGGGUGAGGAACUCGGACUGCAGCGAGGGCAGUUUUUCCUGUAGAAUUAGACGAGGGUCUUCCACCCAGCCCUGCUGUCCUGUUCUGAAAAUCUCUCCUGAGGAAGUACAUUGGAGAUGGAAGAAUGCCAGGCCCAGGCACGCUCACAGCAGCCGUAUUUGUAACAUGCAAAGCUUGGAGCUGUCAAAGUGUCCAGCAUUAGAUUUGACAGAGCACAGAGCAGAGCAGCAUGCCUGGACCAUUACGUCGCAUUAGAAAUACUCCUGGGGAGCGUCUCAUGACACUGGACACUGUCCACUUCGUGUUGAUAAAGCUGUGUGCACAGCUGAUGGUGACUGUGCAGAGCCAGCCGUCACCGGGGGCGGCACUGGGCUAAGCCAGCUAAGUCAGCUGACUGUGCCUUCCUGCUCCCUGGUCCUCGUCUGAGACACGCGAUGCUACAGAGUCGGCUGGGCAGAGUGUCUGCCUUGCCAGGGACUUGUGAGCAGGAAUGAGGACAGAAAGCAGAGACGGGGCCUUGGAGAGUUGUCUCUCGGGUGCUGGACUUGGGUGAUUUGAACUUUCCUUGAUUUUUCUGAAUUUUCCAACUUGCCUAACUUUCAAAACCAUAAAAGGUAGAAAACAUACAAGGCACAGAGGGACAGUUUUUGUCCUCAGACCCUCUUGUCACUCCAAGCACAGCUGCCCAGAGACACGACGGGAGGGGUCAUGGCACCCUGUGGAGUUUGACCUUUGGCCUUUGGUGGUGCACCUGCGGCACCUGCGGGUGUGCUGCGGAGGAAGCCGCAGCAUCCCCACACAGGCCGUUCUAAAGUGCUGCGAGCUCCCGGGGAGUCAAAGCGCUCUCCCUGGCACAGAACAACUAGGCGGGCAGAAGUUAAGCAGACAGG